rnacentral:misc_RNA from 1 species
GAUGAAGAACGCAGUGAAAUGCGAUAAGUAAUGUGAAUUGCAGAAUUCAGUGAAUCAUCGAAUCUUUGAACGCACCUUGCGCUCCUUGGUAUUCCGAGGAGCAUGCCUGUUUGAGUGUCAUGGUACCCUCAACUCCUGUCGCUUUUGCGGCGGGUGUUGGACGUGGAGGUUUGCAGGCGGACUCGUCUGUCUGCUCCUCUGAAAUGCAUUGGCUUUGACUGUUGUCGAGCGCGAUCCGACGUGAUAAUUGUCUGCGUCGUUUCGCCUCUGCAUGAAUAAGGUCUCGGCUUCCAACCGUCCCUCGCGGACAACACUUUAACUUCUGACCUCAAAUCAGGUAGGACUACCCGCUGAACUUAAGCAUAUCAAUAAGCGGAGGA